AUAAGGUUUAAGCCGCUUUUAGGGCUUUGCGUUGGUACUUUCGAAUUGUGAAAAUCUCUCAAAGAUGAUUAGGGGAGGCAGUAGCUACAUAUCUUCGCCACCGGCCUUCUCAAACGACGCCAAGCGCCUCCUCGUUUGCACUGCCAACACCGUCUCCAUCUUCAGCACCUCCACCGCCUUACAGGUUGCGUCGUUGGAAGGUCACACGGCGGCGGUGACGUCGGUGAUGGUGGUGCCGGGCACUAAGGUUUUGUGCUAUUGCUGGACUGCCUCGCUUGAUGGCACCAUUCGGUAUUGGGAUUUCUCCGUUCCGGAGUUGCUCAAAACGCUCGAUGUUAAAAUGCCUAUUUUCUCUAUGGUGAUUCCAUCUAUAGUAGGUCAACCAGCUGAGAGCAAUGAGAAGCCAACCGAUGUUUUUGCUUAUCUGUCCAUUGAAGAUAAAAAAGUGCAAGAAAACAGGCCCAAAGCUAUGCAUGGACAGAUUCGGAAGUGUAACUUGACUGCGUCUCGUAUGGUUGGCGGAUUAAUUUUGAAAGAGACUCCACAGCCAGAAUUCAUUACUGUAAGUUCCUCUGGCAAAUUUUUUGGCAUCAGAAACAAGCGCAAGCUUCAUGUGUGGUCGGUUCCUGCUAUAGAUUCUGGGCGAUCAUUGGCAAAGAAAAUUACCCUGCAUCAUUCAAAGACUUUGUCAGUUCUUGCAUUUCAUCCAGCUGAGAGGAUUGUGGCUGCAGGUGAUGUAACUGGGAGAAUUUUAGUUUGGAGGGGAUUUGGUUAUCGAACAUUUUCUACUGGUGAUGAACUAGUGAAUAAAGAGGAAGAACAUCCUGGUGUGAGGGGGAAUGAUGAUGCUGAUUCUUGCUCCACGUGGCAUUGGCACUCUGCCGAAGUGAAAGUCCUCUCUUUCUCUUCUGAUGGUGCCUAUUUAUAUUCAGGUGGAAAGGAGGGAGUUCUAGUGGUCUGGCAGCUAGACACAGGGAAAAAGAAAUUUUUACCACGAAUUGGAUCUCCACUUCUGUGUUUUACAGAUUCUCCAGAUCCUACACUUUCAUCUAUAUCUUGUGCAGAUAAUCUAAUUCAUAUGCUGGAAAUGCCUUCUAUGGAUAUCUUAAAGACCAUCUCAGGGAUCAAGCUUCCUCAUUCAUUUCCAGGGAGAUAUGAAGGUCUAAGCAGUGGGUUUGCAUUUGAUUACACUUCUGGGUUAGUUGCCCUACGUACAGAGAGCUAUGGCAUCCAAUUCUACAGCUUAUUUGAUGACCAUGGAAUGUAUGAGGUUCAAGUCUGUGAAAGAAACCAUCAGCCAGGUGAUGAAAUCUCGGUUGUAGUGAUUUUAGUGGCUCUCUCCCAAGAUGGCUCUAUGAUGAGUACUGUAGAAGUUAAGCUUCCUGAAGAGGGAAUAGGAGGUCUUGUUUGUCUUAAGUUUUGGGCAUUGGGUUCAGAGAAUAAAAAGUUCACCUUGUCCACUGUUAUUUAUGAACCUCACAGGGAUGCUGGUAUUUCUGCUGUUGCUUUUCAUCCUACCCGUCAUAUGGCGGUUAGCUCAUCGUAUGGUGGGGACUUCAAGGUAUGGGUUUGCAAUGAUGAGAUCCAGCAGAAAGGUCAGACACUUCAGAAUUCUGGUUGGGCAUGCCUUGCAGUUGGAGCAUACAAAAAAAAGCCAAUGACAGCGGCUGCAUUUUCUUUGGAUGGGUCUGUUCUGGCUGUUGCAGCGGAAACUGUUAUCACAUUGUGGGAUCCUGACAAGAAUGUCCUUUUGGCUGUAAUUGGAGAGACUUUCUCGCCAAUUGUGACCCUGUCCUUUGCUGGAAAGUCAGAGUAUCUAGUAUCUGUGUCGCGAGAUCCAAAGCCGCAACUCUCUGUAUGGAAUAUGUCAAAAUUGUCUCUAUCUUGGUCAUACAGGCUUCACAUUGAAGCUGUAGCAUGUGCGGUGGAUCUGUUGUCUUUUGCAGUUCUUGCCCUUCUUCCUGAAUCAUCUAUGUGUACGGAAUCGAAUGAAUCAAUGUCUCAAGGAAGAGAUGGGGCAAUCCUAUUAUUCAAUGUAGUGGAUCCUGUUCCUGUCGCUUCCUGGUCCGUAAGAAAGGCAAAGGGAGGGGGGCUUUCGUUUCUUCAAGGAAAUCCAUCUUUUUUGGAAGAGAAUAUUUCAGAUGGGAAUGCACCAAAAGAAUUGCUUGUUUAUGUCAAUGGUGAUCAUGAGUACGUACUCUUUGACCCAUAUAGCAAUGAAGCAAAUGAGGUUAGCACGGCCAGGCGGAAGGGUUUAGUUGAGCUUGAAGAAACAGGGCAAGUUGGAUAUGCGUCUAUUUAUGGAGAGUUACCAGAGUUUAAGAGAAACCAGACUUCAUUGGUCCCAUCUGUUCCAUCAGAGAGGCCUUGGGAGACGAUAUUCAGUGGUUCAUCACAUAAUCUUCCACCCCUCACCAAAUUGUGUGCAGCAUUUCUGGAAUCAUUGAUGGAAAAGAGGACUGCUGCUGUUGAGUGAUUCUUAACUUCCUCUGGUUCAGCUCUUUUUGAGGGUAAGAUGAUGGGUAGAGAAUGUUAUACAUUUGAUUUCAUUAUUCCCUUUUUACCUCCACCGCAAAUAUAUUUUGACAAGACAGAGAGAGUAUGCAUAAAGAUAAAGAAGCUGUAUAGCUGAUAUGCAGACAUGAUAUUAGGAAUAUGACAUGUUUGGUCACCGGUUGGGUGGAACAGAAAAUCUAUCAGCUUUGUACAUUAGCUCCUGGGAAGAGAGAUUAAUGAAGCCAUGAUGGGACCACAAUCUCAACUUUUAAGAUUGGUGGAGUUUGAUGUAUACUUUGAAAGGCCAUUUAGGGAGAGAUUCUAUAUUAAACUGAAGAUGUCCAAGUUUUCUUGGCUCAGAAAAUUUUGUAAUUGUAAGAGGAAGGAUGCUGUGAAAAUUUUGUAAUUUUAUUUUUUUGGUUAAGGUAAAUUUUGCAUUUGAGAUGA